rnacentral:lncRNA from 13 species
AGGCCAAGGUGGGCAGGUCACUGGAGAUCAGGAGUUUGAGAUCAGCGUGGCCAACAUGGGGAAACCCCAUCUCUACUAAAAUACAAAAAUCAGCUGGGUGUGGUAUCAGGUACCUGUAAUCCCAGCUACUGGGGAGGCUGAGGCAGGAGAAUUGCUUGAACCCAGGAGGUACAGGUUGCAGUGGGCAGAGAUAGCACCAUUACACGCCAGCCUGGGCAAUGAAGCGAGCCUGCAUUUCAAAAAACAAACAAACAAACAAAAGAUAUGAGUAAAAACAAUAUAAAUGUCUUUUUCUAAGUGGCUCAUAAAUUGGCUUUGAGGAGUAGCCCACACAGGAUUUGGGACAAAGAAUUCUAAAAUGUUUUUUGUAGGAGCGUCAUGGGAGAAGGAACAGAUCUUCCAAGGGAACCAGUUGAGAGUGAUGGCCGUCAUCUGAAUGCAGAGUUUCCAGGAAAUGAGUUUUAAAGACAAUCAUGUUGAUUUAUAGUAAUAUUUUAUACAGUAUCGGACUUUUACAGGAAACUAUAUGUAAUUGUAGUGAAUUUCACUUAAUAAUAAACUUCCGUACCCUCUUCCUGUGUCCCUACAAAGGCCUGGACAAUGCAGUCCCAGCCCUGCUGCAGAACAUGGCCAGGCCCCACCUUCCUCCUUCCUGCAGGGAUAUCCUCUCCUAUAGAAGAGAUGUAUCCGCUACCACCAGAAGUUGGGGACAUUUCCGCUCACCCCAAAACGAAUUCGUUCCUGCAUUGACACAAAUGACAUCUUUCAGAACUGCAAACACAUCACAUUUCAAUGGAGAUCUUUGGGACGGCCGAUCAGCGUCAGUUGCCCCACAGAAUCUCAGGUCCCUACUCCCUUUGAAGCAUUUGGGCUGUUCUGCACCGACUGCCUCAGAGAAAGGAUGUCACAGUGGAAAACAGAACCGGGAAAAGACUUCCUGA